GACGAACGCUGGCGGCGUGCUUAACACAUGCAAGUCGAACGGAAAGGCCCUGCUUUUGUGGGGUGCUCUAGUGGCGAACGGGUGAGUAACACGUGAGUAACCUGCUCUUUACUUUGGGAUAACUUCAGGAAACUGGGGCUAAUACUGGAUAGUAGCUCCUGCUGCAUGGUGGGGGUUGGAAUGUUUCGGCGGUUGGGGAUUGACUCGCGGCUUAUCAGCUUGUUGGUGGGGUAGUGGCAUACCAAGGCUUUGACGGGUAGCCGUCCUGGGAGGGUGACCGGCCACAUUGGGACUGAGAUACGGAGCAGACUCGAACAGGAGGCAGCGGUGGGGAAUAUUACACAGUGGGCGGAAGCGUAAUGCAGAGACGCCGCGGGCGGGAUGACGGCCUUGGGGUUGGAAAGCGAUUUCGGCUGUGACGAAGCGUGAGUGACGGUAAUGGGUGAAGAAGCACCGGCUAACUACGUG
rnacentral:rRNA from 1 species